AAGAACUUAACAGAAAAAAACGAAAUUUUUGAACAGAAAGCAGGAACUUAAUAGAUAAAAUGAAGUAUUUUUUACAGAAAGCAAAAACUUAACCCCCCAAAAAAAAAGAAAAAAGAUAGAUUUGGACAGAAAGCAGGAGAUUAAAAGAGAAAAAUGCAAUCUUUUGAGAGAAAGAAAGAAAGAACUUAACAGAAAAAAUUGAAACCUUUCAGAAAGCAUGAGAUUAAAAGACAAACAGUGGGAGCAUACCAGAAAAAAAAAAAAAAAAAAAAAAAAAAAAAAAAAAAAGCCAGUAAUUGUUGGUAAGAAAGGAUUUAAGUUUUUUUUUGGGAAAAAAAAAAAAAAAAAGUGGAACUUGUGACAGAAAGAAUGAGGUUUAGAUGAGGUUGAGAGAGUACAGUUGGGAGAUGACGAAUUGAAUAACAGAGAAGAUUGGAAAUAAAUGCAAACUUCGGUAGCUUUGGGAAGGUAACGUACUAACAGCCAUUUUUCAACACUUUUCUUAUUAAACCUUUCGUCGAAUACAAAGUCUACAAAAAGCUAAAAGUCAAUUAAAU
rnacentral:lncRNA from 1 species